rnacentral:rRNA from 1 species
GACGAACGCUGGCGGCGUGCCUAAUACAUGCAAGUCGAGCGAAGCGGCGGAUGGGUGAGUAACGCGUGGGUAACCCGCCCUUAAGUCUGGGCUAUCAUUUGGAAACAGAUGCUAAUACCGGAUACUAACGGAUGGACCUGCGAUGCAUUAGCUAGUUGGGAAGGUAACGGUUUACCAAGGCGAUGAUGCAUAGCCGAGUUGAGAGACUGAUAGUCCACAUUGGGACUGAGACACGGCCCAAACUCCUACGGGAGGCAGCAGUAGGGAAUCUUCCACAAUGGACGAAAGUCUGAUGGAGCAACGCCGCGUGAGUGAAGAAGGUUUUCGGAUCGUAAAGCUCUGUUGUUGGUGAAGCGGUAAUCAACCAGAAAGUCACGGCUAACUACGUGCCAGCAGCCGCGGUAAUUC